rnacentral:rRNA from 1 species
GGGUGGAUCCGCAAGUCGGCUCGCGAAAUUCAGCUCGGAAGGCUGGUGCGGGCGCCUGCAGGAGCGAGAUCUGUCUGGACUCGCCUGCCGCUCGUCUCCUGCCAGCCUGACGUGUGCACUUUUCGCGGGCAGAGCGCCACGACCGGUUUCCCGGCAGUCAGAAGGCGGCGAGGAAGGUAGGCGGGCACCCCCCGGGCCGGACGGACCUGGGGUGCUCGUGUAGCUGGCCGCAAGCAAAGGGUCGGUGGCGAAUCGGUCGGCACUCCACCCGACCCGUCUUGAAACACGGACCAAGGAGUCUAACAUGCGCGCAAGUCGUUGGGUCGUACGAAACCCGAAGGCGAAGUGAAAGCGAGGGCCGUCCUCGCGACGUGCUCAGGUGGGAUCCCGUCGGGGACAAGGUAUUUAAGGCGGGCGCACCACCGGCCCGUCUCGUUCGCGUCGUCGAGGAGGCGGAGCAAGAGCGUGCACGUUGGGACCCGAAAGAUGGUGAACUAUGCCUGAGUAGGACGAAGCCAGAGGAAACUCUGGUGGAGGUCCGCAGCGAUUCUGACGUGCAAAUCGAUCGUCAAACUUGGGUAUAGGGGCGAAAGACUAAUCGAACCAUCUAG